GGAGGAACCUCCAUACUGUUUUCCACAGUGGCUGCACCAGUUUGCAUUCCCACCAGCAGUGCAAAAGGGUUCCUCUUUAUCUGCACCAACAUCUGUUGUCGCCUGAGUUGUUCAUCGUGGCCAUUUGGCAGGUGUGAGGUGGUAUCUCACUGUGGUUUUGAUUUGUGUUUCCCUGAUAAUGUCAUUCUUGCUUUCAGAUCGGUGUCUGAAUACGAACAUCUGCCGCCUGGGGUGGUGGUGGUGCUGUUCCAGUUUCUCCUUUCUGUCCUCAAAGCUUUGUUCUCCUCUCUCUCUUUCAUCCUGGGAUUCUGGGUAUGGUUGAAAAGCUCAGUUCUGGAUUGCUUCUGCCUGCAGAUGAAGUUCAAAGGCACUUUCCACUUUGCUCUUCAGGUCUCCUGGUGUUUCACUGGUCCGAGGGCAGAAGCAGGCGCGCCUGUGUUUCGUGCCCAAAUCAGAGCAUGGAAAGUACAACCAAGUGAGUUUCCAGAUGGCAGCACCACACAUCUGCGCACUGCUGAGCAGCCACGGCUCGCGAGUGACUGGAUGGAAUGGUGAGCGCGCAGCUGCCUGGGCGCACUGCCCGGCUCCUCGCAGGCUCCAUGGAAGGAGUCUCCCUCCCCUUCAGCAGGGCCUGACAGCUGCUGAAGCAGAUGUGAACACUUUGGAGGGCGCAGAUAGACUAACGAAGAGAGACCGUCCAGCAUCGUGGCACGUCACAGAGGAGCACAACCCACUUGUCAGCGAUGUCGAAGUGGGAAGGCGACGGGAACAGAGAAGCCGGCGCCCACAGAAGGGAAUCCUUCCAGCUGCAGGAGGUGUGAUCCUGCCGCUCCCCUUCCCAGCCAGUUUGGGGCGCGGCUCGCGUAGAGGCCUGGAACAUGAGAGUCCUGCCCCGCGCUCCCCAGCAGUGCCGAGCCCUCACCCUGGCACGAGACCUGUAAGUGAGGUGGUGUCUCAGAACCUGGGCUAGUCCACCCGACAAGAACCAGUUUGUUGAGCGCAGCCUCAGGCACCUUGUUCGCACUUGGCCUCUUCUCCUGGUGAGGGCUUCUGCUCAGCCCUCAACCCACCGAGAUGGCUACUUGUCCACUUCUAGCCUCCUGCCCCAGGAAAGCUGAUGUGCAGGCAGGGCAUGGGGCUCCCUUUCCGAACCUGGGCCGUUUAUUACAAAAACACCUACCAUUCCGGCCCAGCAGGCUCGGGAGCCGGCAGCCAGACACCCAAGGGACCGCAGGCUCUGCACAAUUGAGACCAGGCCUAUUUGUCUGGGCUCGCUACCAAUUCAUCCUUUUGCUCCAGACGGCAGACUGCCCCGUAAACGACACUGUGUACCCAACACCAUUUUGCCACCCGGCAUUCGAAUGAGUGAUUAGUACUUCUAGGCUCCUCGGAGUUACGGUUUUUCAAACUCUUUGUGGAUGAUGGACGGUCCAUUUUGAAAGCUUUUCAAAGCUCUGAAUCUCCCUUAUAAUAAAUAGCCCAGUCACUCCCUUUGA